rnacentral:rRNA from 1 species
UACGAAGGGUGCAAACGUUGCUCGGAAUCAUUGGGCGUAAAGCGCACGUAGGCGGCUUGCCAAGUCGGACGUGAAAUCCCUCAGCUCAACUGAGGACGUGCAUCCGAAACUGGCGAGCUUGAGUACUGAAGAGGAUCGCGGAAUUCCCGGUGUAGAGGUGAAAUUCGUAGAUAUCGGGAGGAACACCAGUGGCGAAGGCGGCUCUCUGGGCAGAUACCGACGCUGAGACGCGAAAGCGUGGGAAGCAAACAGG